rnacentral:tRNA from 1 species
UGUAGUUCAGAGGUAGAACACAUGCUUAGCCUGUAUGAUAUUCUGGGUUCAAACCCCAGCA